CUUUAUGGCGGGCCGGGCGAGGCAGCCAUCAGGCUGACCGGGAUUGGGGUAAGCACCGGUUUCCACCCUCGUCGUCAGGCCCGCCGCCCUC
rnacentral:antisense_RNA from 1 species